rnacentral:misc_RNA from 1 species
GUCGAAGGUGGGGCUGAUGACUGGGGUGAAGUCGUAACAAGGUAUCCGUACCGGAAGGUGCGGAUGGAUCACCUCCUAACAGGGAGACAAAACAAUGAUUUUGAUGUCUGAGUAUUUCAUUCUUAGGCCGAAAUCCUGUCACCUUAGGUCGAUCGGUACCUCAACAUUUUUCCAAAGAUUGGUGAGCAAUCAUCAAGAGAUUGGAAGGGAUGUUCAGUUCCUAAACUUUGUCUAGGUCACACCCCGCAAGGGAAGAGUCCCCUGGGCCAUUAGCUCAGGUGGUUAGAGCGCACCCCUGAUAAGGGUGAGGUCCCUGGUUCAAGUCCAGGAUGGCCCAUUCGGUGUUGGGGGUUUAGCUCAGUUGGUAGAGCGCCUGCUUUGCAAGCAGGAUGUCAGGAGUUCGAGUCUCCUAACCUCCACUGACAGAACUCAAUCUCCAUUGUCCGGUAACUCGGAGGAUGAACUCGAUGGCGUGUGAUUUAGAUGUGUCCACUAGAUAGGACCCUAGCUUCCUGUCAUUCCGAACAAGUAAUUAUUGCUUGAUUGGUUGAUAUGAUGCUGGGCUCAGAUUAAUCGAAAGAUUAAUUUGAUCUCUAGUAGAACCUUGACAACUGCAUAAGUAAGUCUGGAAAAACGAAGCAUCUUACAGAUGCAUUGUUUUAAGUCUGAAUUCUCGAAAGAGGGUUUAGAUCUAGAAUGAUGAAAAUUCUUUUAAGCAAGAGCCGAGACUCUUAGAUGUUCUUUUUAUCGUGUCGAGCGAUAAAGAGUUUGAUUUUGUUUUUAUGAGCAGCGAAAGUUGCUGAUAAAACCAGAAGAAUCUGCUUUCAACCGCAGUAAGCGUUUAAGAGGUUAAUUGGUCAAGCUACAAAGGGCUCACG